UACGGAGGGUGCAAGCGUUGUUCGGAAUUAUUGGGCGUAAAGCGCGUGUAGGCGGCAUGGCAAGUCGGGUGUGAAAGCCCUCAGCUUAACUGAGGAAGUGCGCCCGAAACUGCCGUGCUUGAGUGCCGGAGAGGGUGGCGGAAUUCCCCAAGUAGAGGUGAAAUUCGUAGAUAUGGGGAGGAACACCGGUGGCGAAGGCGGCCACCUGGACGGUAACUGACGCUGAGACGCGAAAGCGUGGGGAGCAAACAGG
rnacentral:rRNA from 1 species